UACGGAGGGGGCUAGCGUUGUUCGGAAUUACUGGGCGUAAAGCGCACGUAGGCGGCUUUGCAAGUCAGAGGUGAAAGCCCGGGGCUCAACCCCGGAACUGCCUUUGAUACUGGACACCUAGAGUAUGGGAGAGGUGAGUGGAACUCCGAGUGUAGAGGUGAAAUUCGUAGAUAUUCGGAAGAACACCAGUGGCGAAGGCGACUCACUGGCCCAUUACUGACGCUGAGGAGCGAAAGCGUGGGGAGCGAACAGG
rnacentral:rRNA from 1 species